CUCGUACGCGCGAUCGCGGUUGCAGGUUCGAAGCGAAAGAACGGGCGCGAUGCGUGCGCUGCGCUUAUAAAAUUUUAACAGGUGUUCUUCGGCGGGAAUGGAACAGUGCGCGGUGGCACGAUGUCUUCACCGUCUUCACAUCUUCUGGUGGUAAGGGUGGUGGUAGUGGUGGUGGUGCUUAGUGAUUACCUCGUAGAUUACCAGCUGAGGGCCUGACAUGUGUCUUGUCAUGUGUUAGAAUGGCGGGAAAUUAACGCUCGCGUAAAUUUGAUAGAAAAUCAUCAAUACUCACUUCAAUAUCACACUAACUGCGCCAAACGUAUAGUUUUUAUGAACACUUCAAAACUCUUCCCAUGCUGAUUACACCUUCAGCGCCAAUGAACGGGAAAAACUGAAAUUAAAGUGCGAUCACAGCGCAGUCUACCGGAUUUAAUGUAAAAUAAUCUAAUCACCAGCAAUUUUUAAAUAAACAUUA